AAUAUUGCACAAUGGGGGAAACCCUGAUGCAGCGACGCCGCGUGAGUAAAGAAGUAUUUCGGUAUGUAAAGCUCUAUCAGCAGGGAAGAUAAUGACGGUACCUGACUAAGAAGCCCCGGCUAACUACGUGCCAGCAGCCGCGGUAAUACGUAGGGGGCAAGCGUUAUCCGGAUUUACUGGGUGUAAAGGGAGCGUAGGCGGUCCGAUAAGUCUGGUGUGAAAGCCCGGGGCUCAACCCCGGGACUGCAUUGGAAACUAUCGGACUUGAGUGUCGGAGAGGUAAGUGGAAUUCCUAGUGUAGCGGUGAAAUGCGUAGAUAUUAGGAGGAACACCAGUGGCGAAGGCGACUUACUGGACGAUAACUGACGCUGAGGCUCGAAAGCGUGGGGAGCAAACAGG
rnacentral:rRNA from 1 species